AGAGAGAGGGAGAGAGAGAGAGAGAGAGAGAGAGAGAGAGAGAGAGAGAGAGAGAGAGAGAGAGAAAGAGAGAGAGAGAGAGAGAGAGAGAGAGAGAGAGAGAGAGAGAGAGAGACAGAGAGAGAGAGAGAGAGAGAGAGACAGAGAGAGAGACACCUUGGGUAUCAAAUUUGUUUAACCUGGGUUAAAUUUUAUUUCAACUUAUCUUAAGUGCGUCAAAGUCAAAUACUGUCCAAAUAUACCAGUUCAUCAUAUUAGUGAUUCUAGUUCCUGUUAGGCUAGAUACAUUUAACCUAUAAGAUACCUAUAAGAUAAAUUUCCUGUAACCGAUUGUAAUAAUUGUCAAACAGCGUCUGUUCAUUAAUCGUUUAAUUAUAUGAAAAUACUAAUGAUAAUUAAAUCGUGUUGAGCCAGGAUAGAGAUUUAUUUGCCAGGUAACUAUCAGAAAACUGCGUAAAGAAGUUCAUUAGUAUAAAUGAGCUUUUGUUUUGUGAGCUUACCAAAACUUUGUAGAGACUGCCUUUACUCACUUUCCUUCUCUAUUUUUUUAAGUGUAUAAGAAAGAAAGAAAGAAAGAAAGAAAGAAAGAAACGAAAGAACGAAAAAAUGUGUAAGCUCAAAAGACAUAAGAUACUUGCUAUUUAUGUUUUUAGCAUUUGAUGAUAAGUUCCAAUUUCAACAAAGUUAAGUGCAAAUUUGGUUCAGUAAUUUGAGUCUUGGGGCCCAGUUUCAGAAUGAGAAUGGUCAAAGCUUGCUCUAAUAGUUAACAAUCUUUGGCAGCGAUGCUUUUUGGAGGCAAAAAAUCUACACAAGGCCGAACAGACGGUCUAGGUUACAAACAAUUUCAAUUCGAUUCAAUUAUAUUUUGUUCAUAAAGCGCUUUUACCAAUUGGGCAUUUUCACAAUAAAGUCGCUUCACAGAAAUCCCGAUAUAGUUUUACAUCUAGAGCCCUAACAAAUAAAACAGAGACAUAUAGACCACCCAUAGAACUGUCAACCUAAAAAUAAAAUCAGAUUCCAUUUGUACACAACAUAGGCUACUAAAAACAACUUAGCAUUUUUUUUUACGUUAAAAAAAAAUACAAUGCAAAACAAGCACAUCGCAGUCUAAUAUCUUGAAUUUAACAUAAGCUAGAUGCUGACCAUAACGAGUUUCAUUGAAUACCAGGGAUAUACACUGUAUCUUAAAAUAGCCCAUUGAAGUAUGGACCAUACAAACGUCUGUUUAAAGGUUAUAUGAGAAACGGAAAAAAAACAAAACAUUAAUUUAUGUGCACGGCCAGCUACGUCUACAUAAUAUCCAGCUUAUUGUUUUUCGUUUUAUACACAGUAAAUCAUUUCUCUCUCUCUCUCUCUCUCUCUCUCUCUCUCUCUCUCUCUCUCUCUCUCUGAAUUGCAUUUUCUUUCAGUAGGUAGGUUACAGGUUAUACAUUAAAUGUUGUUUUGUAUGUCAUUAUGGAAAGCUGGUCAAAUUAAAUGCGGGCGACGUUUGUGCAUACUUUUCCUAACAGGUAAUGAGUUUUGGGAACAGCUCUACCUGUUGAGGUUCACUGGCGUUACUCCGCUUGUAGCUGUCAGGCCGAUGCGACUCCGCGCCUGUACCGGAGUUCUCCAGACGCUCUCUAUCGAUUCCUCUAGUCCAGCUCUACAGCAGACAUAUAUCCCAUCCGACAGGAGUUACUCACCCGUACAUAACGAGCUCAGUCCACGCAGCAUAUUCAUUCAUUGUGGUUUGAGCUAUAGAUAGCAAUAGAUAAGAAUGCACAAGAGGUGGAGGGUGAAUUUAAAUUCGACAUGUACUGUUUACAUAAUAAACUCAUCUGUAUGUGAUGUAUGUUUAUCUGACGUUUCAUACCUAGAAGUUGUGAAAAAUAAACAUUACACUCGAUGACAAUGCCUGUGUUACCUUACAGUGUGCCUUGAUUUAAUUAAAUAGAGGGGACAUAUAGGCGCAGGGGCUAAUUCAGUCUUAUGGAAAUAUAGGGUAAGUAAUCAGGUUCAAUAUUUUAAGUGAAGUGGUCUGUUCUGAGCAUUAAUUUAGCGUAAAUCUUGAGAAAGGGUUUUAGGACAGACCCCAAAACGACCUAGUCAGGGGAAAAGAUGGGUAAGUAGCAGAUUUAUGCAAAUACCAGGAUAAUAAAUCCUGAGCAGUCGA
ensembl:lncRNA